GUCUAUGGCCAUACCACCCUGAACACGCCCGAUCUCGUCUGAUCUCAGAAGCUAAGCAGGAUCGGACCUGGUUAGUACUUGGAUGGAAGAUCUGUAUGCAAAUAUUCAUAGAAG
rnacentral:rRNA from 1 species